GACGAACGCUGGCGGCGUGCUUAACACAUGCAAGUCGAACGAAGUGGCGAACGGGUGAGUAACGCGUAAUCAACCUGCCCUUCCGAGGGGGACAACAGUUGGAAACGACUGCUAAUACCGCAUACUGAAGGAGGGGAUUGCGUCUGAUUGGCUAGUUGGAGGGGUAACGCCCCACCAGGGCGAUGAUCAGUAGCCGGUCUGAGAGGAUGAACGGCAACAUGCGGACUGAGACACGUCCCAGACUCCUACGGGAGGCAGCAGGGGGGAAUCUUCCGCAAGGGACGAAAGUCUGACGGUGCAAAUCCGCGGGAGUGAUGACGGCCUUCGGGUUGUAAAGCUCUGUUAAUCGGUACGCGGUACCGGAAUAGAAAGCCACGGCUAACUACGUGCCAGCAGCCGCGGUAAUAC
rnacentral:rRNA from 1 species